UGGCGAGUGGCGCAAUUGGCAGCGCAUCUGACUCUGGAUCAGAGGGUUCUAGGUUCAAAUCCUAGCUCGCCAGCCA
rnacentral:tRNA from 1 species